GUGCAACAUGAGUUUAAGUUAUAAUAAUCACAAGUAUUUGUGGUUAUAUGCUUUAUAAAGGAAAAUGCAAGAGACAAGUCAAGAAAAUAAACCAUUAAAUUGAAUAAAUCUAAAGGACAGCUUUCUGAAAUAAAGGCCGUAUGGAUACUGUAGCCUAAGUGGACCAUGCCAGCUCAUUAAUGGGCUAUUUUACUUUGUUAUUGAGUAAAAACUCCUGAGAUUGCUUUAAGGGGGCUGUGUGUGGACAUUUGAUGGAAUAAAAUAUCCCCAUGAAGAAUUUGACAGCUCUGUUAAUUAAUAUGUUGCAAACUUUUGCAGCCUUCUGUUCACACUAAUUAUAAUUACCUGAAUUUCAUCAGCCAUAAAACUGAGCUAAGAUAUUAGGGAUCUUAGAUGAUUCCAUAAAUCAGUAUAAAAUACAUACUAAUAAUUACUUUUUUUUCCAGAUCUUCCUACGACUUCUUAUCACCAUUUCCUUUUCCAACCACAUAAUAAAAAUUUUUUAGUUUGUAUAUCUAUUAACGGACAGCCACAAACACCCUUAAAUCUGUUAUCUGAUCCAGAGAAAGGGAUCGAAGUGACUGGCAAGCUUGGUGAAAACAACCAUUUUACAGAGUUUGAAAUAACUUAUCCAAAGCUUAACCUGGAAAUAAAGGUGUCAACAGAAAAAAUUACAUUGAAAAGUAACGACUCCAGUCACUCUUUUGUGUGGAAUGACAGAGAAUCUUUAACAAAGGAAGGGCUAAACAUUACACUGACAAGUGGAGAAAGUCUCUUUCUGUCAGGACCAGACAACAUUGUAACCAAAAUUUUCUAUGUACCUCCUCCACUUGGUCGGCUUGGAUUAUACUUUGAGAAUAGCGAUUCUUUUUCUAAUCAAGUUACUGGACUCUUCGGUAAGUAUU